AUAUUGCACAAUGUGGGAAACCCUGAUGCAGCAACGCCGCGUGAGUGAAGAAGUAUUUCGUUAUGUAAAGCUCUAUCAGCAGGGAAGAAAUUGACAGUACCUGACUAAGAAGCCCCGGCUAACUACGUGCCAGCAGCCGCGGUAAUACGUAGGGGGCAAGCGUUAUCCGGAUUUACUGGGUGUAAAGGGAGCGUAGACGGUUAUGCAAGUCAGAAGUGAAAGCCCAAAGCUCAACUUCGAGACUGCUUUUGAUGCUGUGUAACUAGAGUGCAGGAGGGGUAAGCGGAAUUCCUAGUGUAGCAGUGAAAUGCGUAGAUAUUAGGAGGAACACCGGCGGCGAAGGAGGCUUACUGGACUGUAACUGACGUUGAGGCUCGAAAGCGUGGGGAGCAAACAGG
rnacentral:rRNA from 1 species